UGGGGAAUCUUGGACAAUGGGGGCAACCCUGAUCCAGCCAUGCCGCGUGAGUGAUGAAGGCCUUAGGGUCGUAAAGCUCUUUCGCCUGUGAAGAUAAUGACGGUAGCAGGUAAAGAAACCCCGGCUAACUCCGUGCCAGCAGCCGCGGUAAUACGGAGGGGGUUAGCGUUGUUCGGAAUUACUGGGCGUAAAGCGCACGUAGGCGGACCAGAAAGUUGGGGGUGAAAUCCCGGGGGCUCAACCCCGGAACUGCCUCCAAAACUAUUGGUCUAGAGUUCGAGAGAGGUGAGUGGAAUUCCAAGUGUAGAGGUGAAAUUCGUAGAUAUUUGGAGGAACACCAGUGGCGAAGGCGGCUCACUGGCUCGAUGACUGACGCUGAGGUGCGAAAGUGUGGGGAGCAAACAGGAUUAGAU
rnacentral:rRNA from 1 species